rnacentral:rRNA from 1 species
GGCCUAACACAUGCAAGUCGAGGGGUAACAGGAAAAAGCUUGCUUUUUCGCUGACGACCGGCGCACGGGUGCGUAACGCGUAUAGAAUCUACCUUUUACUAAGGGAUAGCCUUUAGAAAUGAAGAUUAAUACCUUAUAGUAUUGCAAAUUGGCAUCAAUUUGUAAUUAAAGAUUUAUUGGUAAAAGAUGACUAUGCGUUCUAUUAGUUAGUUGGUGAGGUAACGGCUCACCAAGACAGCGAUAGAUAGGGGUCCUGAGAGGGAGAUCCCCCACACUGGUACUGAGACACGGACCAGACUCCUACGGGAGGCAGCAG